CGAGGUGUAGCGCAGUUUGGUCAGUGCAUCCGUUGUAGAUACAGAGGGCCAUAAGUUCGAAUCCUAUCACCUUGA
rnacentral:tRNA from 1 species